CAAAAUACAAUAUAUGAAUUUAUUUCGGUACUUUUGGAAGCAAAGUAAUAGCAGUAUCUGAAUUACAAACAAAACUUAUGUACAAAUUGUUCAUAGCUUGAGUGCACUAGCAAAUAUCAGAAAUUUUUUGGAGAAAAUUUUCCAUUCUAUUAUUUUGAGCCCUUAUAGAAUCAUUAUUUAAUAGUAAGUUAAAAAAGUAGAGAAGUAAAACCAAAAACUUGUUUUGGUUUACUUCUCUAACAAGUUUUAUGGCAACAAAUAGAAUGAAAUUGUAUCAGUCAACAUCAAUCAACAGAAGCAUAGAUCAGUAUCCCAAUCCCAUGACUUAUCAUUGUGCUGUAUUUGUUGUAAAUAAUAGUGUAACUACAAGGUUCCCCCUUGCCUUGCCUCCUUGGCUAUUCCAUAUUAAUAUAGUUGGAUUGUCAACUUCUCAUAUCAUUAUGAAACAUAUAUUUACUAUCACUAAUUAAAUAUUAAGGUUAAUUCUAUUCAAAAUAAUUAAUUAAUUAAUUAAUUAAUUUUAUUAACACAUACAAAAC
rnacentral:lncRNA from 1 species